GCCUGCAAUACUUUAAGUGAAUGUUAUCUUUUUUUUUUUUUUGGUCAGGAGCAGACAUGAGAUAGAGAUGUUUUAUUUUGAUUAAGGAGAGAUGCUCAACCUCCUCUCUCAGGAAGCCUGUUCUAUUCUUGAUUGCUACAAUGAACUAUAUUACUGAGCUCAGGAAGAUGUCUGCCUACAGAGAUAAAGUCUCAUCUGGCCUCAGAGGAUUAAGAGAAAUUUCAAGAUGUACGGAUUAAUUAUCAGGAAAAGUCACCCUUUUGGCUGACAAAAAAAAAAAAAAGAUGAAAAAAGGAAGAAACCUGAAAAAAAAUAAGGUGGAAGAAAUUCAAGAACGGAAAGUGAGACACAGCAGAGUAAGAAGAAGAAUCCUGUGCAACACAUGCAAUGAAGAAUCUUUAAAUCAAGAAUUUACAGUCAAUAUGGUCUAUAGCUAAGCACUGGAAAAUAUAAUAUUGUCAUUCUACUUUGCAUCUCAGGAAGUGAAACACAAAGACAUUAAAUGCUGUAUCUACCAAAGUUUUCAUUUGCUGUGAUAUCUACUUAUUUUCAAAACAGCAUGCUUAAUUCGCUUCUAG
rnacentral:lncRNA from 1 species